CUGACCGUCACCUGCUGCAAGUCACAUUUACAUAAUGCUGAGCCCUCGUCCAGAAAGCCUUGACGUGGUCCGACAAAACCCCAGAAGCCAUAAAUCCUUUCCCUUGCCCGAUUAAGUGGGAUGUUUCCAGCUUCAUUAUGCUUCGAUGACACUGGACUUCUUAAGGGGUGAGAGGGCAAGGAAUAAAUACACCCAUAAGGUGGUCAAGGAGUUGAUACAAAAGGAAGAUUAACGACAGAAAAACAGAGAGGGGAAACUUCUCCCGGGUUGACAUGAGGGGCAGAGACCCCACGAAGGCUCUGCAGCCCCCAUGGAGCCCGGGGGUCUCUGUCCCUCACCGGCUCGCCGAGAGGCCCGUCCCCAAGCGAAGCCUCCGAACCUCCCGUCUGGGCCUCCUCCUCCCCCGUCCCCGUCCCUCGCUUCUCCACAGGAACCCGGGCCGGGACCCGCCGCCAUGCGGCACUUGAGGGACCGCUCCCGCCGUCCUCACCCGCGGCCCCCGGAGGACAAACAGGAAUGAAGUGAAACUGAAUUAAACAAGGGCAACAGCAAGGUUGUGAGGUGGCAGAGAAGCACUGCUUGUCCCAGAUAGUCCCUGCACCCGAGUUACGCUGCAUGAGGAGCCCCUUGGCACAGCUGGCAGGAACUCACAUCUUCCACUUCUCAGAGCCAUCUGGGAUGUCUCUGCAAGGACUGCUAGACCAGAAACCAGCCCCUUGAACAGAAGCCAAGCAGGACAGAAGGAAACUCUGCUAGAAAUCACCGAGCGCCUAUUUAGCUUCAGACUGCCACGCUGCAGCUGCUGCACACUCUGCUGCUUCAGAUGUGGGAGGCAGAAGUGAUGAUACUUGGAGCAGACUCUGGGAAGCUGAACAGCACCUGAGAAUGCCGUGUUGUAGGAAUGGCUGCUCAUCUCACUUGCAUCUGAUCCCUUAACUGCCAAAUAGCUAAAAGAAAGAGUUGUCCCCAAUCCACUUAAACACUUUACACCUCUGUUUCUGGCUGCUCACCUGCUUUAGCCACAGAAAGAACUCCACAAGAGAAGCAAAACAUUUCCCCUUGCAGACUCAUCACCGGUUGGGGUCUAUUGCACAGUCUUCCAGAUGUUUGUUCAUUUAUUUGCAAUAAAUAGUUCACGCAGGUUGGCAGGAACAGGUGGCAAAAUUCACUGCACUGUAAAUUACUGUAUCUUCCCUUUCAACUUUCUCAAAUUAAAAAUACAGCUACCAACAUUUGCUAUGCUUUUGGAAAGGUGUCUUACAGCAAGACACUGCAAACACUACAGUUUUUCAGAAUUUAUCUCUGUACUAUUUAGACCUCAUAAUUUACAAUAAUUUCAUCUCCAUUUUGCUUCUGUAUUUGUUUCCUCUUAAGAGUUGCUCAUCUUAAAUGCCAGGAGCCAAUAUACCCCAGGAAGAAGCAUCCCAACCAACAGCCUCUUAGAUGCAGACUGAUGCAAAAUGAUAAUUUGUCUCAUUAGGAACCUUAUUACUUGCUCCUGGUAAUAUCAGACUAAUCAUUUUUUUUGAGGCUUCUGCUAUAUGCAUAAAACCAACCAAGACUGUGUAAGUAUUUGCUCUUCACAUUCUAGAACAGCUCAUGUAGCCUUGUAUACACCAGCUGCGAGUGAUUAUUUGCCCUUGUUUGUGUUAGGUCAAACUUCUAAGCUGUGAGGACACACUUUUGCUCAACCAGAAUCCUGAAAAAAUUAGAUUCAGCCAUAUUGAUUUAUCCCUUUCUUUCCUAGUGUCCUUUUGUUCAGUGAUAUUCAUGUCUCCUAAAUUAUCUUUUCUUGUAAUAGCAUUUAAAAGAGCUUUGUUUCUUUUAACUUUAGGACCUGUCAUUUAAUUAGUCUCCUUUUCUUUUGAACUCCCCUUUUCUAAAGAUGAAUGGCAGAGCAUCACAUUUUGGUAUCCUUCCUUUUCAACAGUGAAUAUAAUUAUCUGUCCUAUGACUCAGCUACCAUUGCUCUAGGAAUUACCUUGUGUGCAUUAUUUAAGAGAGGCACACAAUGUUUUUAGUAAUGUUCACUCAUUCUAAUAGUAUCGAUUACAAAGUAGAUUAAAACAGAGUAAGAUGCCACAUAAUUUAAAAAAACCCACCCUGUAUCCUGAACAAAAGAAGAGAAAUUUAGAACACUAUAUUGCCCAAUCUUAAAAACAGUUGGCUUUUGGGGGCUGAUUUAGUAGCUCCAUAGGGUAGUAUUAAAACUGACAAAUUUUCCCUAAAGCGGUGGACCAGAGGCACAACAGUCCUGUAGCUCUUCCUCUUCUGCAGGAAAUUGCUCACUGCAUGGUUCCAAUUUCAAAAUCUGCUUCCGUAACGCUCGAAUUUGUAGAAGUUUUAAAACAGCUCCUUUCUAAGAGUUUUCACCCUUCACAUAAAAGAGCACUUCAAUUUAACAAAAAACGUCCAAAUGCAAGUACUUGUAUUCAGGGACCAUUAAAGAUAAUGGAGAAAGGUGGCAUCCACAAAGCAAAAGCUGAGUUUAGUGAAGCUCAACAUGGAGAAAGACCAUGUCCUCCUCCAGAGGAUCACAGAAUCGACUGGGUUGGAAAAGACCUCAGAGAUCAUCAAGUCCAACCCUUGGUCCAACUCUAGUCCGUUUACUAGAUCAUGGCACUAAGUGCCAUGUCCAAUCUCAGUUUAAAAACCUCCAGGGACGGCGAGUCCACUACCUCCCUGGGCAGCCAUUCCAAUGCCUGAGCACUCUCUCUGUAAAGAAUUUCUUUCUAAUAUCCAGCCUAAAUUUCCCCUGCAGAGUUUAAUCCCAUGCCCCCUUGUCCUAUUGCUAACUGCCUGGGAGAAGAGACCAAUCCCCACCUGGCUAUAACUUCCCUUCAGGUAGUUAUAGAGAGUGAUGAGGUCACCCCUAAGCCUCCUCUUCUCUGGACUAAACAACCCCAGCUCCCUCAGCCUCUCCCCAUAGGUCUUAUGUUCAAGUCCCUUCACCAGUUGUGUUGGGAUGUUUCAGAGCAGUUUGCUGGUGUCCCAAAUCAUGAGAAAGAAAUAAUCGAUCUCUAUUACAGAAUAUCCCAUUGUCCCAGAUUUUCACAUCUGUGUCUGAAAUGUGGCCAACAUAAACCCAGGACGGUGAGCAGAGCUCUGCACUGGGGCACUCCGGUUAAUGAGCUGAAAACAUUAUUGACUAAGCCAAUACCAGCCUAAUGGGAAAUCUGUCUCCGCAUAUGCUGCAUAAUUUUUGUAUUAUUGAACCAACUAAGGAAUUGUUUAAUCAACAAAGCCAGCAGGAAACCCUCAAAUAGCAGGAAAGAGAAGAGACAUGCACUUGUUUGCUGAUUAAUUUUGUGCAUGUUCAUGCCUCUCAGGUUUGCUGUCUGCAACAGGGGGUGUCAACAUCCACCACUUUCAUCUUUGUGCUUCCCUCGGGACCAGCUGCAUCACAGCACCCAUUGCUUGGCCAACUUGGAUCUCACUGACAAUGGCCACAACAUCAUGUGGACACAUAUUUUCUGUUCAGGACUGAAGCAGUUUCCUGACCCAGGUGUGACUGUUUUAUAGGAAAGAUUAAAACUGAAGGCACGAGACAUACCUGCACUCUCCCAUGAGUACUCUUCAAUGAGAAGAAAACUAUCUUUUUAAAUUCUGAUGUACAUUUAUUGAUCCAGUUCUAUGGUUAAGUCGAAGUGUGGCCAAUAUGCCUGAAUUUUUAAAUACUUCCUCUACAUACCUGGGUUUGUUCCCAUUCUAGCCCUGUACUGGGCAGUGAUCCUUUGUUGUUAUGCACACUGGACAUGUGAAGCACCAUGAAAACAUGACCCAUGGCCUGGCUUGUUUAUCUUACUGUCUUCUAGAUAACCCAGCUGUAAACUAUAAACUCCUCAGAGCCAAGAAAUGGUCUGAUUUCUACACCUAAAAUUCCACACAAGCUCUGAAACACAAAACAUUUAUAAUUAUUUAAAUUACAUAAACCUCAUGUACUCGCCAGCAAAAGCUUGAAAUUAAGAAUGAACAUAUUGGUCCCCCUUUUAAUACCUGGUUCCACAGACAAGCCAACACACCCCGAUGAUACCUGAGUUCAGAUCAGGCGCCGCAAUGUUUCCAGGCAUCAUCAGUGGCAACCUCUGAGCCCUGAAAGGAGACAACACACCACUGAUGGACAACAUCAGAGAUUUGCUUUUGACACAGCCAUGUGUCAACAUUUAUCACAAUGUGUAACGUUGUGAUCAAACUUCUUUCAGUUCUUACAUGCCAAAUAUGUACUCCUCAUUGCUGCAGAUUUUGGGUUUUGGUUUGACCCUAGAGGGAGUUUUGCUUUUAGAAAGAGGCUUGCGUAAAUGAAGACACCAAAAUUAAUUUCUAGAAGCAACCAAUGAGUUUCUCUUAUUUCCAGUAUAUCAUACAUUACUUUUUCCUUUGCUUCUUUUUGAAAUGAAGUACUUAAACAUUUAUCUUAAACUAAACAAAUGGAAAGAAAUGUAAAAAGCGUUGUUAUGGGGAUACAACCAAAAUUCUGUAUAUGAGUUAUAUGCUGUAAAAGACUUGUACUCAUCCUUGUGUAUCCUUUUGAAAUACAUUAAAUCAAUUUUUGAGACUUC